CAUACUUUUUGAAGAAGCCUUCGAACUGCUAACCCAACUCAUCCAUACAGUUCUAGAUCACUGUAGUUCUUCCCCCCCCUCUAUUUUUAACUCAAGGUAUUAAAAUAGAUCUUGUGUCAAGGAGGCAUGGCCUUUACAUUGCCGAAUUCAAGGAA